rnacentral:sRNA from 1 species
AAAAUUAUGGUACAAUAAUACAGUAGAAAAGUUAAGACGGUGGCUAUCUUUGAGAGGUGGUGAUGCUUAUGCAAGUAAACAUCAAAAUCUAUAGGGAGGAGAUGCCUGUUUGUCCGCAUAUGAGACAAUUCAAUUGCUUUGAUUGCUUUAGUUGUUAAACUGCUUAAAAAUGACAA